GGCUGGCGCUAGCUUUGUAUUCAGUGGUCUCUUCCUCUUUGUAGCCUCUGUGUUUGGCCCAAAGGUAAGUCCCCACCCUGAUCCCCAGAACCCGUGACAUUUGCCUUAUUUGGAAAAAGAGUCUCAAUAUAUUGACACCAUGAUAUGGAGAAGAUUGUCCUGGGGCGUCCUAAAUGCAGUCACAAUAGAGAGACAGGAGAUUUCACCCAGGCAGACGAGGAGGCUGCAGUGCGACAUAGAGACAGAGACAGAGACGGGAGACAGAGACGGGAGUGAUGUGGCCGCAGGCCGAGCACGCCUGGGAGAGGCAGGAAGGAGCCCCGGAGCCUCUGGAGGGAGAGAGGCCUCCACACACCUUGACUUCAGCCCCGUGGUGCUGAUUCUGGACUUUUCAUUUCCAGAAAUGUAAGAAAAUGAACGUU
rnacentral:lncRNA from 1 species